UUAAGCGACUAAGCGUACACGGUGGAUGCCCUGGCAGUCAGAGGCGAUGAAGGACGUGCUAAUCUGCGAAAAGCGUCGGUAAGGUGAUAUGAACCGUUAUAACCGGCGAUGUCCGAAUGGGGAAACCCAGUGCAAUUCGUUGCACUAUCGUUAACUGAAUACAUAGGUUAACGAGGCGAACCGGGGGAACUGAAACAUCUAAGUACCCGAGGAAAAGAAAUCAACCGAGAUUCCCCCAGUAGCGGCGAGCGAACGGGGAGCAGCCCAGAGUCUGAAUCAGCUUGUGUGUUAGUGGAACGGUCUGGAAAGUCCGACGGUACAGGGUGAUAGUCCCGUACACCAAAAUGCACAGGCUGUGAACUCGAAGAGUAGGGCGGGACACGUGGUAUCCUGUCUGAAUAUGGGGGGACCAUCCUCCAAGGCUAAAUACUCCUGACUGACCGAUAGUGAACCAGUACCGUGAGGGAAAGGCGAAAAGAACCCCGGCGAGGGGAGUGAAAAAGAACCUGAAACCGUGUACGUACAAGCAGUGGGAGCACCUUCGGGUGUGACUGCGUACCUUUUGUAUAAUGGGUCAGCGACUUAUAUUCUGUAGCAAGGUUAACCGUAUAGGGGAGCCGCAGGGAAACCGAGUCUUAACUGGGCGUUAAGUUGCAGGGUAUAGACCCGAAACCCGGUGAUCUAGCCAUGGGCAGGUUGAAGGUUGGGUAACACUAACUGGAGGACCGAACCGACUAAUGUUGAAAAAUUAGCGGAUGACUUGUGGCUGGGGGUGAAAGGCCAAUCAAACCGGGAGAUAGCUGGUUCUCCCCGAAAGCUAUUUAGGUAGCGCCUCGUGAAUUCAUCUUCGGGGGUAGAGCACUGUUUCGGCUAGGGGGUCAUCCCGACUUACCAACCCGAUGCAAACUACGAAUACCGAAGAAUGUUAUCACGGGAGACACACGGCGGGUGCUAACGUCCGUCGUGAAGAGGGAAACAACCCAGACCGCCAGCUAAGGUCCCAAAGUCAUGGUUAAGUGGGAAACGAUGUGGGAAGGCACAGACAGCCAGGAUGUUGGCUUAGAAGCAGCCAUCAUUUAAAGAAAGCGUAAUAGCUCACUGGUCGAGUCGGCCUGCGCGGAAGAUGUAACGGGGCUAAACCAUGCACCGAAGCUGCGGCAGCGACACUAUGUGUUGUUGGGUAGGGGAGCGUUCUGUAAGCCUGCGAAGGUGACCUGUGAGGGUUGCUGGAGGUAUCAGAAGUGCGAAUGCUGACAUAAGUAACGAUAAAGCGGGUGAAAAGCCCGCUCGCCGGAAGACCAAGGGUUCCUGUCCAACGUUAAUCGGGGCAGGGUGAGUCGACCCCUAAGGCGAGGCCGAAAGGCGUAGUCGAUGGGAAACAGGUUAAUAUUCCUGUACUUGGUGUUACUGCGAAGGGGGACGGAGAAGGCUAUGUUAGCCGGGCGACGGUUGUCCCGGUUUAAGCAUGUAGGCUGGUUAUCCAGGCAAAUCCGGAUAAUCAAGGCUGAGGUGUGAUGACGAGGCACUACGGUGCUGAAGUAACAAAUGCCCUGCUUCCAGGAAAAGCCUCUAAGCAUCAGGUAACAUUAAAUCGUACCCCAAACCGACACAGGUGGUCAGGUAGAGAAUACCAAGGCGCUUGAGAGAACUCGGGUGAAGGAACUAGGCAAAAUGGUGCCGUAACUUCGGGAGAAGGCACGCUGGUGUGUAGGUGAAGUCCCUGCGGAUGGAGCUGAGACCAGUCGAAGAUACCAGCUGGCUGCAACUGUUUAUUAAAAACACAGCACUGUGCAAACACGAAAGUGGACGUAUACGGUGUGACGCCUGCCCGGUGCCGGAAGGUUAAUUGAUGGGGUUAUCCGUAAGGAGAAGCUCUUGAUCGAAGCCCCGGUAAACGGCGGCCGUAACUAUAACGGUCCUAAGGUAGCGAAAUUCCUUGUCGGGUAAGUUCCGACCUGCACGAAUGGCGUAAUGAUGGCCAGGCUGUCUCCACCCGAGACUCAGUGAAAUUGAACUCGCUGUGAAGAUGCAGUGUACCCGCGGCAAGACGGAAAGACCCCGUGAACCUUUACUAUAGCUUGACACUGAACAUUGAGCCUUGAUGUGUAGGAUAGGUGGGAGGCUUUGAAGCGUGGACGCCAGUCUGCGUGGAGCCAACCUUGAAAUACCACCCUUUAAUGUUUGAUGUUCUAACGUUGGCCCCUGACCGGGGUUGCGGACAGUGUCUGGUGGGUAGUUUGACUGGGGCGGUCUCCUCCCAAAGCGUAACGGAGGAGCACGAAGGUUAGCUAAUCCUGGUCGGACAUCAGGAGGUUAGUGCAAUGGCAUAAGCUAGCUUGACUGCGAGCGUGACGGCGCGAGCAGGUGCGAAAGCAGGUCAUAGUGAUCCGGUGGUUCUGAAUGGAAGGGCCAUCGCUCAACGGAUAAAAGGUACUCCGGGGAUAACAGGCUGAUACCGCCCAAGAGUUCAUAUCGACGGCGGUGUUUGGCACCUCGAUGUCGGCUCAUCACAUCCUGGGGCUGAAGUAGGUCCCAAGGGUAUGGCUGUUCGCCAUUUAAAGUGGUACGCGAGCUGGGUUUAGAACGUCGUGAGACAGUUCGGUCCCUAUCUGCCGUGGGCGCUGGAGAAUUGAGGGGGGCUGCUCCUAGUACGAGAGGACCGGAGUGGACGCAUCACUGGUGUUCGGGUUGUCAUGCCAAUGGCACUGCCCGGUAGCUAAAUGCGGAAGAGAUAAGUGCUGAAAGCAUCUAAGCACGAAACUUGCCCCGAGAUGAGUUCUCCCUGAGACUAUAAGUCUCCUGAAGGAACGUUAAAGACGAUGACGUUGAUAGGCCGGGUGUGUAAGCGCAGCGAUGCGUUGAGCUAACCGGUACUAAUGAACCGUGAGGCUUAACCUU
rnacentral:rRNA from 1 species